GUAGGUGUUGUUGGUGCUGGUGUAGGUGUUGUUGGUACUGGUGUAGGUGUUGCUGGUACUGGUGUAGGUAUUGUUGGUGCUGGUGUAGGUGUUGUUGGUACUGGUGUAGGUGUUGGUGGUACUGGUGUAGGUGUUGCUGGUACUGGUGUAGGUGUUGUUGGUACUGGUAUAGGUGUUGUUGUUACUGGUGUAGGUAUUGUUGGUGCUGGUGUAGGUGUUGUUGGUACUGGUGUAGGUGUUGUUGGUACUGGUAUAGGUGUUGUUGGUACUGGUGUAAGUGUUGUUGGUACUGGUGUAGGUGUUGUUGGUACUGGUGUAGGUGUUG